AUUGAACGCUGGCGGCAGGCUUAACACAUGCAAGUCGAGCGAGCGGCGGACGGGUGAGUAAUGUCUGGGAAACUGCCUUAUGGAGGGGGCUAACUACUGGAAACGGUAGCUAAUACCGCAUACCAUCAGAUGUGCCCAGAUGGGAUUAGCUAGUAGGUGGGGUAAUGGCUCACCUAGGCGACGAUCCCUAGCUGGUCUGAGAGGAUGACCGGCCACACUGGAACGGAGACACGGUCCAGACUCCUACGGGAGGCAGCAGUGGGGAAUAUUGCACAAUGGGCGAAAGCCUGAUGCAGCCAUGCCGCGUGAGUGAAGAAGGCCUUCGGGUUGUAAAGCACUUUUAGCGAGGAGGCGUUACUCGAAGAAGAAGCAACGGCUAACUACGUGCCAGCAGCCGCGGUAAUAC
rnacentral:rRNA from 1 species